UUGCAGGCUCUGGAAAGGAAGCCUUGUGAGGAUCAGCUGAGGUCACUUGGUCUGUCCAGCCAGGAGAAGAGACUGAGCACGGACC